GGGGGUGCAGAGUGGCCCUAGAGGGUCGCGACCCAGGGAGUUCACGGCGCGCGCAAGGAAAACUUUCCACCAAACCAAACCAGAUCACCUUCCUUCUUCCUAUUUCCUUUCUUUGUUUCCUCUUUGUUUUGGUGCACUUUCCUUUUUUUUAUUUCUUUCUAUCUUGUUUUGGACAGGGAGGGGGCGAUCGGAGGGGUGGUAUGCAGCGGCGUGGUGGUCUAGUGGUGACCAAGGUGGGUAUUCGCGUGAGGGGGACGGUGUGCGAACAGUGGAACGACAGCGGCAAAAGUAGGGUUAGGAGAACAAAGACAAAAACAAUGGAUUAAACACAAGUGACUAGCAACAACUGAACAAGUAAGCACACAAAUUCAACACAGAUUAUUGAAAGAAUGUGCAAGGCUAAACGGUUGCUGGGACAAGGAUGUAACGUGAAAAAUUAUUAUUAUUAUUUGUGUUGGUUUUUGUGGACUGUAGGAAGGGAAAUACACUCGAUAAAACUCACCGGU
rnacentral:lncRNA from 1 species